ACUUGAAGAUGCUUUAACCUGUCCGAUGAAAUGGUAACGAGAAAUACUGAAAUACGCAUGAAAACGUCUGUUACAAAAAGAUAAGACCCUAUUCUAUUUCUGUCCUGUGUAGACAGCGUUUUUAUAAGUACCUUGAAACGAAGGGUAGUUAUUCAUAAUUUGAUACGAUCAACGAAUAAAGAUGGAAAUAGCAAAAAUAUCUGGCGACAAUAGUGUAAACUUUCUAAUUAAUGGAGCAC